rnacentral:lncRNA from 1 species
UUGAUGCAACUAAUGCAAUUAUUUGCAUAGCAAUUUAUUAAUUUAUAAUCAGGAUAGUGUUUCAAGGCCAUAAAAUAUCAAUGUAUCCCAUCCAGAAAAGCCCCUUCCCUGUCCUGGAGGACAAAGAAAUCAUUAGCAAGUAGCUUGGUAGACAUGGAGUCCGUCUUGAGGACCAUUUCCCUGGGCCACGGUAAAGUCUGGCGAAGCACCACUGUGCUAAGCAGACUCCUACCAAAUGGAGCAUCUGGCAAUCUCUGCUUUUUUUUUUUUUAACCUCUGCAUUUUUGAACGUCCUUUUUUUAGGGUCUUAAUUGACCAUUCUUCUUUGAUUCACAUCAUCUUUAUGUUGCCCACACUCCAAUUCUCUGCCUACUUACUCAGUUGUAAUCACAAUCCAGUCCUGCCUUCCUCAAUCUCGAUGUAUUUUCAUCCUUUGCGCCUGUUUUUAUGACUCUAUGAUGGAGACUUCUCACAAUCCCUCUCAUUUUUUUUUCACACCUGUAUUUUUCCUCCUCUUUUCAUUUCUGGGUUCCUGCCUCUUCUUUGUUCUUUGGAUAUUCAAUUUUUUUUUUUGAGACGGAGUCUCACUCUGUCACCCCUGCUGGACUGCAGUGGCACUAUCUCGGCUCAUUAUAACAACCUCGGCCUCCCAGGUUCAAACGAUUCUCCUGCCUCAGCCUCCUCAGUAGCCGGGAUUACGGGCGCCUGCCACCACGCCCGGCCAAUUUUUUGUAUUUUUAGUAGAGAUGGUGUUUCACCAUGUUAGCCAGGAUGGUCAUCUCCUGACCUCGUGAUCCGCCUGCCUCGGCCUCCCAAAAUGCUGGGAUUACAGGCGUGACCCACCAUGCCCAGCCUGGAUAUUUAAAUUGUUCUGUGCUCUCCUCCUUUUUUUUCUCUCUGUGAUUCUCUUUGUCAGCUCCUUUGCCUAUAUUUGCAUCUCAGUUGACACCCCUGAUUCUGACUUGUCCUUAUCUUCCUACCAGUCUCUGCCGACCGGUUACUGUCAGCCUGUCUUUAGGGUUUGCGCUGCAGCUGUUUGUCCUUUGUCUUUCUGCCUGCCUCCAAGUCCCCAUAUCUCCUGGUCUCUUCUGUCAGUGAAUCUUCCCACUGACUGCCUCCUCCGCCUUCUGCUUCUCAGCUCCCCGGACUCGUCCCCGCUCUUCUCUGUUCCCACCUCUCCUCUUGCUCUUCUGAUCUCUCUAUCUGCCAGUAUUUCCUCCAUCACUCCUGAGCCUGGGUGUUUCUCCUUGUCACUCACUCUAUUUCACUGUCUAGACUCUCUGUGCCUUUCAGCCUUGGGGUCUCUUCUUGUCGGCCUUCAUUUCUAUUUUUCUGGUCCUUUUUGUUUAUAACCCUUUUAUCAGUUCUGUGACUUUGGUGUCUCUCAGGAUCUAUGACAGCCUUUCUCCAUAUUUCUGCUAGGGCCUGUCUCUUUUGCCCUCCAUCCUUCUUUGCCUCUGUCACCUCUAUGUGAAUAAUCCUUCUCUCUUUCUAUCUAUCACUCAAUCUAUGUAUGUCUGUCUCUGUCAUUCUUCGUAUCUUUCUGUACCUCCGCUUCUUAGCAAGGUUUUUGUUUUGUUUUGUUUUUUUUUGAAGACAAUCUUCCUGUCUCUUGCUUUUGCUCAUGUAGCUUUUCUGUGGAUGGCUAAGGGUUGCCUCUCUCAGUCCAUUGUUUAGUGGAACAGCAGACUUAAUCUGCUGGGCACUUCCCGUCACCUCGAUGUUCUGGGAAGGAAGGGGUCUUGUUCAACAGAAAAAAACGCAGCAGAAGCAGCAGGGAGGAAGAAGACUUUAUGAAUGUAUCUCAGAAAAGUCCCAGCUCUUCCUUUUUUUUUUUUCUUUAGAGACAAGAGUCUCACUCUGUUUGCCCAGGCUGGAGUGCAGUGGCACGACCUCGGCUCACUGCAA